rnacentral:rRNA from 1 species
GACGAACCGUGCGAACGUUGUUCGGAAUCACUGGGCUUAAAGGGCGCGUAGGCGGGCACUCAAGUCUGUGGUGAAAGCCUCCCGCUUAACGGGAGAAGUGCCGCGGAGACUGGGUGCCUCGAGGGGUGUAGGGGCACGCGGAACUUCCGGUGGAGCGGUGAAAUGCGUAGAUAUCAGGAGGAACACCGGCGGUGUAGACGGCUUGCUAGACCACCCCUGACGCUGAGGCACGAAAGCGUGGGUAGCAAACAGG